UGCAGGUUGAGCACCUGUGAGGAUAACACUGUGCAUCCGCAAAACUUUCUGUUUUGUUACCAAACUCAUUGGCAACAAAGAUUGCUAAAACUUUACGGUAACCAAAUAACGCUCUUGGAUGCUACAUACCGAACAACUCGUUACGCACUUCCCCUUUUUUUCCUUUGUGUUCGUACAAAUGUAUGCUAUGUUGUAGUUGGUGCCUUUGUGAUUCAACAGGAGACUGCUACAUCAAUUCAAGAGGCAUUGGAAAUGUUCAAAACAUGGAAUCCAGGGUGGAAACCAAGUUGCUUUUUGGUUGAUUUUUGUAUGGAAGAGAUAAAUGCCAUCUCCAAAACCUUCAAAGGUAGCUAUAUUAUAUUUUAUAGAAAGCAUGGACCGAGUGGGUUACCAAAAAGGACCACGGUGUAUAUGAGAGUCGGCGACAUGUGCUAAGUAUGCUUCAGAAAAUUGCCUCAGCAGCUAGCUUUGAAGACCACCAGAAGGCACUUUGUGCACUUACUGAAUCACACAUAUGGCACAAAAGUGACGCAUUGAGACAAUGGUUUUCAAACAAAUGGUUGCCAGAAAUAAAGAAGUGGGCACAUGCUUAUCGAACUGGAGAAUUACAUGUUGGCAUCCAUACCAACAAUGGACUGGAGAGGCAGAAUGAAGUACUGAAGCAUACAUAUCUGGAGGGCUAU